rnacentral:rRNA from 1 species
GCAUAAUCAAUAGUUUUUUAAUUGGAAGCUGGAAUGAAGGGUUUUUCUAAGGAGAGAGUUUUAUUUAAUUAGUUUGAAUUUAAAUUAAAAGUAAAAAUGCUUUUAUAAAAUUUUGGGACGAGAAGACCCUAGAAGCUUAUGGAUUAUUUUAUAAUUUUUAGUUGGGGUAACUUUUGAAGAGAUAAAUUUUUAAGAUUUUAAAGUUUGAUAGAGAAGUUACUCUAGGGAUAACAGCAUUAUUUAAUUAACAAGUUCUUAUUAAUAAUUAAGUUUGUGACCUCGAUGUUGAAUUAAUU